UGUGUCCUCCCCAAAUUCACAUGUUGAAAUCCUAACCCCCGAUGUGACAGUAUUAGAAGGUGGGAAGGCAUUAGGUCAGGGACGUGGAGCCCUCCUGAAUGGGAUGAGUGCCCUUAUAAAGGAGAGGCCAGGGAGUUCUCACACCUCUUCCACCACGUGACAGCACAGUGAAAAGAUGGCCGACGGCCAUGAACCAGACACCAAAUCUGCUGGCACCCGGAUGUGGACUACCUGCCUCCAGAACCGUUUCAGAAAGAUCUACCUGAUCACCAUAGGCUGGAGAACGUCGGAAUACAGUAAAUGAAGAUGAAAAGUGCUCCGGGACACAACUUUCACUGGCUUGGCCUCUUCAUAAAGCAUGAAACAACAAAGUGGUUUCUCUCACUAUCUGUCGCCAUUUUCAACGACAUUCUUGGUUUUUGGACUCCUUACCUGCUGGGACCACUGAGGACCCCUGUCACCUAGUCUCGGUCCCAGUGCCCUCCUAGCAUCCAAACCUCUCAUCUGACUUAACUCGAAGCUACUGUGGGAUUAUUCCCCAUUGGAAUGAUUAGCAGGAAUAAUAUUAUUAAUGUUUGCCCCCACUUCCUCUGUUUCCUAGAAAUAAUGGCUAAUGUGUAUUAAGUGCUUAUUGUAUGCCAGGUA